UACAGAGGUCCCAAGCGUUGUUCGGAUUCACUGGGCGUAAAGGGUGCGUAGGUGGCGGGGUAAGUCGGAUGUGAAAGCUCGGAGCUCAACUCCGAAAUGGCAUUGGAAACUACCUUGCUCGAGGGUUGGAGGGGGGACUGGAAUUCUCGGUGUAGCAGUGAAAUGCGUAGAUAUCGAGGGAACACCAGUGGCGAAGGCGAGUCCCUGGACAACUCCUGACACUGAGGCACGAAAGCUAGGGGAGCAAACAGG
rnacentral:rRNA from 1 species